rnacentral:misc_RNA from 1 species
AAGUCGUAACAAGGUUUCCGUAGGUGAACCUGCGGAAGGAUCAUUAUCGAGUUUUGAACGGGUUGUAGCUGGCCUCAUACGGGGCAUGUGCACGCCUGGCUCAUCCACUCUUCAACCUCUGUGCACUUAUUGUAGAUCGGUGGAUUGAAAGUCGAGGCGCAAGUCUUGACUGGAGAGAAACCUUUCUACGUAUUUACCACAAACGCUUCAGUUAUAGAAUGUUUAUCUGCGUAUAACGCAUCUUUAUACAACUUUCAGCAACGGAUCUCUUGGCUCUC